rnacentral:rRNA from 1 species
GCUUGUCUCAAAGAUUAAGCCAUGCACGUGUAAGUAUAAAAUAACCUAUACUAUUGAAACUGCGAAUGGCUCAUUAUAUCAGUUAUAGUUUACAUGAUAAUAAUUUUCUACUUGGAUACCCGUAGUAAUUCUAGAGCUAAUACAUGCGUCAAACCCCGACUUCUGGGAGGGGUGUAUUUAUUAGAUGGAAACCAAUGCGGGGCAACCCGGUAUAUGGUGAUUCAUAAUAACUUUCGGAUCGAUCUUCGGAUCGAUGCAUCAUUCAAGUUUCUGCCCUAUCAGCUUUGGAUGGUAGGGUAUUGGCCUACCAUGGCUUUAACGGGUAACGGAGAAUUAGGGUUCGAUUCCGGAGAGGGAGCCUGAGAAAUGGCUACCACAUCCAAGGAAGGCAGCAGG